rnacentral:rRNA from 1 species
GACGAACGCUGGCGGCGUGCCUAACACAUGCAAGUGGAGCGACGAACCAGGCUUCGGCCUGGGGCAAAGCCGCGAACGGGUGAGUAACACGUGGGUAACCUGCCCCGAUGACCGGGACAACCCGAGGAAACUCGGGCUAAUACCGGAUGUGCUCCUCGCACGCAAGUGCGCGGAGUAAAGGAAGCUUCGGCCUCCGCUUCGGGAGGGGCCCGCGGCCCAUUAGCUAGUUGGUGAGGUAACGGCUUGCCAAGGCAACGAUGGGUAGCUGGUCUGAGAGGACGAUCAGCCACACUGGGACUGAGACACGGCCCAGACUCCUACGGGAGGCAGCAGUGGGGAAUCUUGCGCAAUGCGCGAAAGCGUGACGCAGCAACGCCGCGUGGGGGAAGAAGGCCUUCGGGUUGUAAACCCCUUUCAGGAGGGACGAAGGCACGGCGGUGAACAGCCGUCCGUGCUGACGGUACCUCCAGAAGAAGCCCCGGCUAACUACGUGCCAGCAGCCGCGGUAA